CGGGCUGAGUAACGCGUGGGAACGUGCCCCAAAGUGAGGAAUAAGCUCCAGAAAUGGAGUCUAAUGCCGCAUAUGAUCUUCGGAUUAAAGCUUUCGAGCGCUUUGGGAGCGGCCCGCGUCCGAUUAGAUAGUUGGUGAGGUAAAGGCUCACCAAGUCUACGAUCGGUAACUGGUCUGAGAGGAUGAUCAGUCAGACUGGAACUGAGACACGGUCCAG
rnacentral:rRNA from 1 species